rnacentral:lncRNA from 1 species
UCUCGAAAUCUUAAUAUUCCAGAGGCAUCAACACUGCACUCCCCUAUCUGCCUACUCUUAAUCUCCGCUCUAACUCUAGUCAAAUACGGAUCUGAACUCUGCUUCUCUUUUAUCCUUUCCAAAAGAGUGGGUUGCAAAACCAUAGACAUAAUUCUUGCAGUAAUCCCAGAGGAUACAAUCUCAAGUCCAAAUCGCCUCAUAUCCUCCAGUAAUGGCGUCUGCCUCGUAAUCAUCAUGCUCAAACUCUCUAUCAAUUUACGGCUCAAUGCAUCAGUCACUCCACCAUCUCCCCACUCCUCUCCCACUUCUCCAUCAUUUCAUCCACUUCUCCACCAUUCCCUUCACUUCUCCAUCAUUUCAUCCACUUCUCCACUAUUCACUCUACUUCUCCACCAUUCCCACCACCCUCUCUCUAUAUAAAGAAAAGCGAAUAUAAAAAAGAGAGAGGAUUGUACUCACAAAAAAAAAAA